GCCAGCAUCCAUUUCUAGAUUUGAGUGAUAAGACAAUGAAUAAGUUAAUACUUGUCUUGUUACUAAAUCUUUGAAAGCCAGAUUAAUUUUUGUUGAAAGACAAAAAAGCUCCUGGAAGCCUCUUGAUCAGCCAAGGGGGUUUUGCACUGCUCUUUGUGAAGUCAGCCCUCCCUUUGUUAGUGAGCUUUCUGUGGUGCUUGUGAUAAUACCAUUAGGCAAAAGAAAUUUUCUAGUUCAGCCACAGUGACAAGCAUAUCUUUAUUAAGAAGAUUUAUCAUUAUGUAAGUCUUCUUACUUCCUCUAUCUUGUUUUUGUCACAUUCCAGUAUUCAGAGAUUGCUGGAAAAUGUCUGUUGUUGGAAAGUUCGUGCUAUAGGAGAUUUCAGCUAUAAGAAGACCCAUAAAUCAUCCCAUUCUUUGGCAGUGUCUUUGCCACAUGAGAUGUCCCUGAUAAAUCGUGAACACCUGAAGCCGGAGCAGCAGUGGUUUUACUGGAGACAGGUUAAGUGACAGCACUCAAGUAUUUAAAUUAGCUGAAAUCCUUGAAAGAGAAGCAGCCUACAAAACCCCAGAGGGAAAAGACUUAUGAACCUUUCACCACGACAGGAAGGUACCAGUUCUGGGCAGUUCAUCACCCAGUUACUGUACUAAAAAAGGUAGGCUGCUUGCUAUAUAAAUCUAAAUGAGCUGAAGUACCCUCCAAGUGCUUGCAGUGGAAUCUCAGUGCUGCACUUCCAUAGGAAAUGCUGUUUUGUCUGACCAUACAAAUACUGAUUUUUCUAAACCAGAAACAGUUUUGAAGCUGAAAUUCCUAGGGAAGUUCAGUUAGGUAAAAACAUUGAUUGAUGGCAUUUUUCUUUAGCUGAUGGAAACCGUAGCAAUGAAAUAUUUUUCCCUGUGUGCAAUAUGUGUGACACUGUAAAUAAAGCUUGAACCGAGACCUACUUUUUUCUGCUGCAAUUAUGUGUAACUUGGCUCCGUAAUGCAGAGAUGUAAUGCUCUAUUUUUUGUGCUGUAACUAUAUGUAACUUGGUAAUGCUGAGAUGCAAUGCUCUAUUUCUGAUGCUUGUGAUCAUGGCUAGCUAAUAGCCUUACUGACUUCACAGAAGAGUUUGUAAGGAUGCUUCUCUGUUUGCUUGCAAUGUCACUUCCAUAAAAUCACCAAGUGUUUUUGGGAUUGGCAUGUUUCAUUUGCAUUCCUAAAGGAUUAUGUAGGUUCCUUGGCACUGCAGGAUUAGCUUUGAUUUACCCCUGGCACUGGUUUAUGUGAUUGAAAUACCGUGUAUUGUUUAUGUUUAAUG
rnacentral:lncRNA from 1 species